GGAGAGGUGGCAGAGUGGUUGAUUGCGGCGGUCUCGAAAACCGCUAGGAGCGCUAAGCUCCUCGGGGGUUCGAAUCCCUCCCUCUCCG
rnacentral:tRNA from 1 species